ACGCCGCGUGGGGGAUGACGGCCUUCGGGUUGUAAACCUCUUUCAGCAGGGACGAAGUUGACGUGUACCUGUAGAAGAAGCGCCGGCUAACUACGUGCCAGCAGCCGCGGUAAUACGUAGGGCGCAAGCGUUGUCCGGAAUUAUUGGGCGUAAAGAGCUCGUAGGUGGCUUGUCGCGUCUGCCGUGAAAGCCCGUGGCUUAACUACGGGUCUGCGGUGGAUACGGGCAGGCUAGAGGCUGGUAGGGGCAAGCGGAAUUCCUGGUGUAGCGGUGAAAUGCGCAGAUAUCAGGAGGAACACCGGUGGCGAAGGCGGCUUGCUGGGCCAGUUCUGACGCUGAGGAGCGAAAGCGUGGGGAGCGAACAGGAUUAGAUACCCUGGUAGUCCACGCUGUAAACGUUGGGCGCUAGGUGUGGGGGUCUUCCACGAC
rnacentral:rRNA from 1 species